GGGCAGCUACAGCAUCACAAAAGCUCAGCACGUUAACUACAUGGAAGAAAAAGGCUACUUCUCUCAAGGAACUAGAAAAUAUUUAAGAUGAAAUAAUAAUAUUGACACCAUAUUGGAGGUAACAAAGAAGGCUGGUUGAAGUUACAUACCGUCUCUGUUUGCGGUGGAAUCAGAAGAAUGCUAUCUGAUGCAAUUCAAGUCCUUUAAUGCAGCAGAUGAAACAGUCUGAUACAGUGCUGUGGCGUGUUAUCGGUUGUAGUCUUAUAA